rnacentral:sRNA from 1 species
GUCAGGAAGCCCAAGUAUGUGGAAAGCCCCAGAGUGCCUGGAGAUGCAGUUAUAAUGCCAUUCAGAGAAGUAUCCAAGCCAACAGAGCCUGAUGAGCAUGAAGCAAAGGCCGAUAAUGAACCGAGCUGUUCGCCGGCAGCUCAAGAACUGUUGACAAGGCUGGGAUUUUUACUGGGAGAAGGGAUCCCAAGUGCCACACACAUAACCAUUGAAGACAAAAAUGAAACCAUGGUAAUGCCCGAGGAAGACACUACAUUGCAUACCUCUUCAGAGGAUGAACGAAGCAAUAACCAUCUUCUCCCUUUCCUUGAGCAGGGAAGCCAUUGUUCAGUUAAAUGAGUUCUGGGCUGUUGUGUAUUGAAAUUUAUUUCAACAGUUUGGUUCUGGGUUUUUGCAGUGGGGAGGUGGGGAAAAGCAGAAAGAAGCAGAAUGUAAGAAAAUGUCCACAUUAACCUUCUAGUCACCACCCAGAGAAUAAUGGCUACAUGAAUUAAAGAGGCUAAAAGAAUGCCUUCAUAGUGCUACCAGUACUUUUACCUUUAUAGCACCGUUCUUCUCAUCUGGUUGCUUUGGUAUACGCUUUCCUGUGCUUUUUUAGCUGUUGAGAUUUUGGAGGGUCAGUGGGGUGAGGAAAAGAUUUAUAGGAGAUGAGGCAGAGACAAAAUAAGAUGAGAUCAAAUGGUCCAUCUAUCAGGAAAGCACUUGCCCUCCAAGGGAGCAGCAGCAUGCACCCUGCCACCUCCCAGAUGUGAUGUAUGCAUCUGAAUAGCAAUGCAGGAUGGAGCUUCUACCCUGGUGAAGGUCUCUACACUGCAAGGGAGGGUGUCAUGCAUUGAUUGAGACUGCAGUGGUCACCAGUCUCCUUCCCCUGAUUGCAGAGCCCAUAAAUCUUGAGGAAUUGAAUCAGGUUGCAGUGUUCGUGAAACAUUACAAAAACAGAGUUCCCAGGUUUUCCGUACAGAGGUCAAAUAACCCAUUUGUCUUCUGCAGACUUCAAAUGAAAGGAAGUCUGCCUGUUUGCCAUUUCUGUUGUACAAAUGUGCAUCCUCACUAAAUUAUUGCUAAGACUGACCUUUUAAUAAAAAGGAAAAUCACAAAGGAGGGGAACAGAGCAAAGAUACUGCUUUCUCAAAAUUUGGAAGACCACAUAUACAUUUAUAUAGAUAAAGCUCCAUUAAUCCAUAUCUAUACACACAUAUCUCUUUAGAUUUUUUUUUUAAAACUUCCGUUUUCCUGUUCUUAGUUUUAUUGUUUUAGCACAAAAACAAAAGCAUGUGUCGAAGCAUCCUGUGUAAGCCGUGCUAACUCCUCCUUCCAUUCGUCUUGCAGUGCACAGCUCUGAGUCAAGGCAUCAGUCCUUGCUCCACACUAACAAGCAGCACCGCAUCUCCUAGCACCGAUAGCCCCUGCUCAACCUUGAAUAGCUGUGUCAGCAAGACGGCAGCCAACAAAAGUCCCUGUGAGACCAUUAGCAGCCCUAGUUCCACCCUGGAAAGCAAGGACAGUGGAAUUAUAGGUAAGAAGCACACUGCUCGGUAACAUAAUGGCUCGAAGCUCAUCAACCAGAGCAUUCACCAGGCACUUCCUCAGAGGGUUUUAGCGUGGUCUGUGAAGGUCAGUCUGCCAGCGCCUGCUCUGUUCUUUGCAGGCAGCACUGACUCCAUGUAUAGCUGAGAGAGUGGAGCAUUGGCUUUUACAUUCCUUGAUGUUUACUUUGUAACAGUCAGCUCAUUUGUU